GGUUUUCCACGGAGCCGGAUCAUUUAUACUUCAAGUUCCCCAUGACCCAAGUGCCACUGCAGUGAAGAAGAGAGAUGUCACUCUGAGAUGCCUCUUUGAGUAUAUGGGAGAGAGUGGACAAGAGCUCAUCUCUGAUUACUUUGGGGCUGCAGAGACCACUGUUCAUGAGGACCUGAAA